UGAGCUCCUCGUCACUUUGCGUGACCGCAACGUGAAGGAGAUAAUCUUUGUUAUAGCAAGAGGAUCAGGUGAACAAUCAUGCAAAAGUUGCCGUCACCCAAUCAGUGCAAGUGCAACAACAGCUAGCUUUGGGAGCGUGGUCUGGGUGUAUCGGCUUUGGCCAAUCCGAACUAGACGAGCUUCUUGCGACGUCCACAUCCGAUUCGGAUAUCAUCCCUGAUCUCAUCUCCGUUGGCUGACGGAUCCGACUGACGCCGGCGAAUAAACCCUUUCACGCACGCAAUCAUACGCAAUGAACGCAACGCGGCGCGUCACCACAAGCAGAACGAAGAACAAGGAGUCGUCAAGAACACAUCCUAGCUCACGGCUACCGGCUGCGGAUUGAUUUUGGCACGGUACAGAGGGCUGUAGCGUGUGGCAUCAGGGAGAUGAGAUGAGGUAACACAAGUCUGGCCUAACACUCUGCCUGCUCCACCCCCUUCUCUCCAAUCCAAGCGCAUUCCAAGGACAGGGACAAGGAAACACGAUGAGACCUGACGAAAGGAACAAAGGGUGCAACGAUUCCAGUCUAUCUAUUGCACUCCCUGUAAUAGGCCCUGGCUUUUUCCACUUCGAGAGGCCUCGAGAUCACCACGAGAAAAGUUUGCGUGUUACAUGCAUGUAUGCCUGGUCUCGCUUGGUGCCAUCCCGAAUCCGCCAGUGAACGAGCAGGUGCGGAGGCCCCCCGGCUGAAGAGUGACGAGCCACUACGCUGCGAGUUCCACGAUCACGAUUUGGUUGGUACUGCCCUUGCGGAAUGCGGAGAACCAAAAACAAGAAGGAGAAAGGAUGGGAGAUGGGAGAGAAAGCUCAUCGGCCGAAAGGAACGCCUCAUGCAUGGCGACUUGUGGCCACCAGCGGUGCCAACGAUUCGCUGUGCGGCGCGUGUGCGCCCAAGCAUGAAUGUACUAGCAGUAGCAGCCCACCAGUUCUUGAGUGUAUAUAUGCUGUAUGCAUGAGCAUCUGCGGCUGUCGUGUGUUAAAAGAAAAAUGAGUUCUUGUGACUUGUGAGGUUUUGUGAGAUGCUUGGUGGUUCGAUCGAGACGCAUCUGCUUUGUUGUUCAGGAAAAAUCACCAUGUUAACAAGAUCCGCAAUUUUGAGAACUGUUCACGAUUUCAAAAUAUACUAAGGGGUUUAAAAAUAUCUUCGGAAAUUAAAAAAAUAUUCAUAUUUUUUUUAAUUGUUCAGGAAUUUGAAAAGUGUUUGCGAAAUGAAUAAUGAAAUGGAAAAAAA
rnacentral:lncRNA from 1 species